rnacentral:rRNA from 1 species
ACAUGCCUACGGGGCGCAGCAGUGAGGAAUAUUGGUCAAUGGCCGAAGGGCUGAACCAGCCAAGCCGCGUGAAGGAAUAAGGCCCUACGGGUCGUGAACUUCUUUAGUCAGGGAACAAAGGGUGCCACGUGUGGCGCUGUGAGUGUACCUGAGGAAUAAGCAUCGGCUAACUCCGUGCCAGCAGCCGCGGUAAUACGGAGGAUGCGAGCGUUAUCCGGACUUAUUGGGUUUAAAGGGUGCGUAGGCGGUUUGUCAAGUCAGCGGUAAAAAUUCCGGGCUCAACCCGGUCCCGCCGUUGAAACUGG